AACUAGGCCCUUUUAAGGGCCACCAUACCAAGACAUAAGCGAUGAC
rfam:Operophtera brumata OBRT01_Sc18035, whole genome shotgun sequence.